rnacentral:Y_RNA from 1 species
GGCUGGUCCAAAGGUAGAGAGUUAUCUCACUUGAUUGUACACAGUCAGUUAUAGAUUGAACUCCUUGUUCUACUCUUCCCUCCUUCUCACUACUGCACUUGACUAGUCAAAA